ACAUCACAUGAAAAUAUUAUAUUACACAUCCUGAAAACCAAGCCACUGACCUUGUGAAAUGGCUCAUUUUCUCCUGAAAGAAAAUAUUUAAGAAAAGUUACAGGGGCUACAUGAAAGACAGCUGCCAGCACCAAGUUUCUUAUUUACGAUAACAAGGGGAGACCUUCAUCACAUGCAGAAUCCAGCAGGCUAAUAUGAACAUGCAGUAAAUGUUAGGUUUUGUGUUUUCCUUCCUUUCUCUUCGUUUCUGUCACAGUCUCUCCAGUUCAAUGUAUUUGUCCCUGGCCACUUUCUUUGAGAUGAAACAGUGUCACUCUGGAGUUCUCAGUGUGCUGUGUGUGGACAGAAAGAUGUCAACAGCCAAUAUCUGAGAAUGGCAGCUCUACUUCCCUUGUCACCAGCGUGCCUCAGUUCUCCACUGAGUCACUGGACUUGCAGCUGACAAGCCUGUGAAAGCUGGAAAGGAAACAGAAACAAAACAGAAAGAGAGGCAUUCCUAUCUGCAGUCUGCUUCAGAUGUAAUGAUUAUGAUUAUAAUCAACAAUGACUUUUCACAGUAAAGUAUUUUUGACCACAAUUGGGUUCUACGUGAACUUGCUCUUAUACACAUAAACACUGUUAAUGUGUCACAGGAAAGAUCCAUGAUUUUUCAAACUUUCCAUGCCAGAUGUGUUUGCAACACAGUCCCAACACUAAAAAAUGUUAGGUAUACAAUGAUACUAAAGACCAGUUGACUUCAGAAGAGUUGUUUUGCCUGUGUAAACAAGUUCAUGUUUUUUCUUCUCAAUUAUUCAUUUCAUGCAUGUUCAGAAUAAUUAGGGGCAAAUAAC